rnacentral:tRNA from 1 species
UCCCCGGUGGCUCAGAUGGUAAAGCAUCUGCCUGCAAUGCAGGAGACCCAGGUUUGAUUCCUGGGUUGGGAA